CAUCGUAUAACUUAUAUUAAAUUGGUCCAAGUGGGGGGAGUGAGCUUGCUAGUGCACAUAGCAUGGAGAAAGUUGGGGAUUCAGAACACCGCCCUGGUGUAGUGAAUGGUCUGCUUCUCUUGUAGGAGCUAUGGGUGUAUGGGAUCAACAUGACCUUCAGUGCCAUGGCCAUCUUCCAUCUGACAUACCUGGGCUCCCUGUUUGACGCUGACAUAGAAAACUUGGCUGCAGAGGAGGGUUAUGUGGCCAACCACAGCAUUCAGAAGUGGUCAGAGUUGAGCUGGGCCAGCCACUGGCUGGUCUUUGCCUGCAGGGUAUUCUACCGCCUCAUUCAGUGAUCUCAUUUGACGGAAGGUCUGGACUGAACAGAAGACAAUAGCCUAGUUCAAAAAGAACCCUUAGCUCACGGGUGGGCCAUCUUACCUGGUAUGGACUGGUGUGGGUGAAGACUUAAUGGACACAGAGUAGCUUAGUGUGGGACAGGAUGAUUGUCCCACUCCAUCAUGAUUGGAAGAAUGCUGCUUUGUUCCUGGGGUCUUGCUGUAUUCGUUUGUUUGGUAAACACUAAAGAACUAGGCACUCACUAGUUCAAUGCCAUGAUGCAUCACACUGUUGAGAUUGAGAACCAGCAGUAGGCUGAAGAUUCAUCAGUGGUUUCUGUAAAGGCUACUGUUCUUUCAGGGCUUUGUAGUUUGAUCACACACAAUGCUAUAGGAAUAUUGAUGUAUCUGUGUAUAUCAGUAGCACUAUGAAAUAUAUAUUUUUUCAUUGUACAGUAUAUUUGGCCAGUGAUGUUUAUAUAAUAUAUUAUGUUCUCAAUGGAGGUACUUUUUUCGACUGUAUCUGUUUUUCUAAUAAAAGGCCAUUUUUUUCUA